UACAGAGGUCUCAAGCGUUGUUCGGAAUCACUGGGCGUAAAGGGUUCGUAGGUGGCUUGCUAAGUCACACGUGAAAUCCCUCAGCUUAACUGGGGAACUGCGUGUGAAACUGGCGAGCUUGAGGGUAGGAGAGGAAUGCGGAAUUCCAGGUGUAGCGGUGAAAUGCGUAGAUAUCUGGAGGAACACCGGUGGCGAAGGCGGCAUUCUGGACUAUUUCUGACACUGAUGAACGAAAGCCAGGGGAGCAAACGGG
rnacentral:rRNA from 1 species